GUCAAUUUCCCUUUAGCACAAACGAAAACCAAACGAAAUACAAGUAACAACUCGACAAUAUAAUCUAAAUAAGGAAUACUCGCGGAGAGAAUUAGUAGCACAGAGACCUAAUUGAACAAAGAAGAUAUGCCCAAAAUCAAUGCAAAACAACAGAAUUCACGACGAAAAAUUGCAUCACAAACGGGUACCACGUAAACCGCUCGUUAAGAUUUCCAAUCUAAGAAUCUCAACUAUCAUUAUAUUUCGAUCAACACCAUAAUCAGAUAAAGAGCAAAGAGAUGAACCUGAAAGUGGAAAAAAACUUUCAAUUAAUUCUGUUUAGAAGUAGAUACAUUUUGAGGCAACGAUCGGAGCUUGUAAAAGAAUGAAAUAACGAACAAAUCCCAACAACACGAAUUGUAACAGCAAAUCUAGAUCUCAAAGGCGAUGAACUCGGACACCCCUCAACAGCAACCUCCGGCAAAAACUCUAAGCGGCUCAGUCGACGUCCGUUUGUUUUUCCAGCAGAAGAAGAAGCUGAAGGGUCCCACAUACUUUAUCAGAAACGGCUCCCCUUUUCAGGUUCUAUGCGUUAUUUUUGUCCGUUGCUGCCAAUGGCAGCGUUGUCACUUGUCGAUGAUCAAUUCUGGCAAGGCAGCAACUCGAAUGAAGCAGCAGAGGAGUCGAAAUUGGAAGUUGCUGCUGGUUUUGUGAGGAGGGCCCGAGGUCACGGUCUAGGUUCUUUGGAAUAAAGAAGCUUCAUUAGUUUUUGUGAGGAUGAGGGUUGUGUGUAUGUGUUAAGACAAGAUCUGUGGUUUAUUUUGGUUGGACAAGAUGAAGCUAGGGUCUAUUGUGUAUUCCCCAUUCUCUUAAUCGGCAGGCCUCUUGCUUAGUCUUAGGUCUAUAUUUUUGUAUUUUUCAGCUGAUCCCUCAAUUUUUUAGGUGUAGGUUAGUUUUUGGGAGUUUUUCAGGUUAAAGGGUAUGGAACUAGAAAAUAUGGGCUUGGGAAUUAUGGUAUAAG
rnacentral:lncRNA from 1 species